rnacentral:rRNA from 1 species
UACGAAGGGGGCUAGCGUUGCUCGGAAUGACUGGGCGUAAAGAGCUCGUAGGCGGUCUGUCGCGUCUGCUGUGAAAACUCGGGGCUUAACCCCGGGCCUGCAGUGGGUACGGGCAGACUAGAGUGCGGUAGGGGAGAUUGGAAUUCCUGGUGUAGCGGUGGAAUGCGCAGAUAUCAGGAGGAACACCAAUGGCGAAGGCAGAUCUCUGGGCCGUAACUGACGCUGAGGAGCGAAAGCAUGGGGAGCGAACAGG